AUUGAACGCUGGCGGCAGGCUUAACACAUGCAAGUCGAGCGGGGUGAUGGUGCUUGCACUAUCACUUAGCGGCGGACGGGUGAGUAAUGCUUAGGAAUCUGCCUAUUAGUGGGGGACAACAUCUCGAAAGGGAUGCUAAUACCGCAUACGUCCUACGGGAGAAAGCAGGGGAUCACUUGUGACCUUGCGCUAAUAGAUGAGCCUAAGUCGGAUUAGCUAGUUGGUGGGGUAAAGGCCUACCAAGGCGACGAUCUGUAGCGGGUCUGGGAGGAUGAUCCGCCACACUGGGACUGGAAUACGGCCCAGACUCCUCCGGGAGGCAGCAGUGGGGAAUAUUGGACAAUGGGGGGAACCCUGAUCCAGCCAUGCCGCGUGUGUGAAGAAGGCCUUAUGGUUGUAAAGCACUUUAAGCGAGGAGGAGGCUCUUUUGGUUAAUACCCAAGAUGAGUGGACGUUACUCGCAGAAUAAGCACCGGCUAACUCUGUGCCAGCCGCCGCCGUAA
rnacentral:rRNA from 1 species